rnacentral:lncRNA from 1 species
AGAAGUCCACCAUGGAUUCGGUAGGGAUAUUUCACAUGAAAAGAACACAUGGAUAAAAGUUAGCAUCUACUCACAAGGAUAAGACAAGCAAAAUAACCACACGAGAUUCGAUUGAUCUGAACUCGACCUUAAAAGGGGCAGCGAACUAGGGUCGAGACGAGCUGGAACGAAAGGGCUUCCAUCACCACACGAGGUUCCGACGAGCCUUGCUAGAAGUGAGUAGAAAAAAAAAUGUAUUGCUUAUCUUUUACAGCUAGUAACUCUUCCUGUAUAUAUAUUUUUUGCCUGAGUACAUAUGUUUCUCAAACUCUAUUCUCUCCUCGUUUUUCCCCAAUUUCCUCUCCUUUCAUCCCUUGAACACGGGGAACUAUUUAUAGGAAAAGUUGGGGGAUUUAUGAGGUAAAAUCCGCUAGAAAAUUCAAACAUAUUUGAAUUUCUUCUGCUCUUUCGAAGCAACAGUGAGGGUUGUUGUGCAGGGCUGCGAUUUCCAUGAAAAGGGGGGGAAAGAAGACGUGAGGGUGAUGGAUUAGGUUGCUAGGGUUAUGGGUUCGCAGACGGGUGACGAGAUUUCGGAUUUGCUGGAUUUUUCACAGAGGGAUGGGCGCUCUGUUUCUUAGCGUUUAAAGAAGAACAAGACAGGUACAGGGGUAACGUAUGUACUGUUGCACCUAUU